UACGUAGGUGGCGAGCGUUAUCCGGAAUUAUUGGGCGUAAAGCGUCCGCAGCCGGUUUUAUAAGUCUAUAAUAAAAGCCUGGGGCUCAACCCCAGUUCGUUAUAGAAACUGUAAGACUAGAGUAUGGUAGAGGCAAAUGGAAUUUCUAGUGUAGCGGUAAAAUGCGUAGAUAUUAGAAGGAACACCAGUGGCGAAGGCGAUUUGCUGGGCCAAAACUGACGGUCAGGGACGAAAGCGUGGGGAGC
rnacentral:rRNA from 1 species